GAGCAAGAAAAUCUCCAUAACAAGAGAGAGAAACCAAUCUUUUCAGUGAGUGAGCUAAGAUAAGAAAAAUGUCAAAAGAAGUGAGUGAAGAAGGAAGACAUGGCAAAGACUACGUUGAUCCACCUCCAGCUCCACUCCUAGACAUGGCUGAGAUUAAGCUCUGGUCUUUCUACAGAGCUAUCAUCGCAGAGUUCAUCGCCACUCUCCUCUUCCUCUACGUGACCGUAGCUACAGUCAUUGGCCACAAGAACCAAAACGGUCCUUGUGACGGUGUUGGUUUACUCGGCAUUGCAUGGGCCUUUGGUGGCAUGAUCUUUGUCCUCGUUUAUUGCACCGCCGGUAUCUCCGGAGGUCAUAUUAAUCCAGCAGUGACAUUUGGUCUGUUCUUGGCUCGUAAAGUGUCGCUCCCUAGAGCAGUUGCUUACAUGGUGGCUCAGUGUCUUGGAGCCAUUUGUGGAGUUGGACUCGUUAAAGCCUUUAUGAUGACUCCAUACAAACGUCUAGGUGGUGGAGCUAACACCGUAGCUGAUGAUUAUAGCACCGGAACUGCUCUUGGUGCUGAGAUUAUUGGCACAUUUGUCUUGGUCUACACUGUCUUCUCUGCCACUGACCCCAAAAGAAGCGCGCGUGACUCUCACGUCCCGGUUUUGGCUCCGUUACCUAUUGGGUUUGCUGUGUUUAUGGUGCAUUUGGCUACUAUCCCCAUCACUGGAACUGGAAUUAAUCCAGCUAGAAGCUUUGGUGCUGCUGUUAUCUACAACAAUGAGAAAGCUUGGGACGACCAUUGGAUCUUUUGGGUUGGACCGUUCUUGGGAGCAUUGGCAGCAGCAGCAUACCAUCAAUACAUCUUGAGAGCUGCAGCAAUCAAAGCCUUGGCUUCAUUCCGCAGCAACCCAACCAAUUGAUGAUGCAUGAGCUUAUUAACAAUUUGAGCUCUGUUUUGUGUGCUUAGUGAGAGAUAUUUGUGUGUUUUAAUUUGGUGUUAUCGGAUUUAUUCAUUUUCAAUAGUUUAGUUUGGUUUAAUUCAUCUUUGUACCGUUGCUUUCUUUCAUGUAGGACAUCUUAUGAUUUACUUUUAUAUUACAGUCCGAAUUAAAACAUUUGUUAAAACU